rnacentral:rRNA from 1 species
UACGUAGGGUGCGAGCGUUAAUCGGAAUUCCUGGGCGUAAAGCGUGCGCAGGCGGUUCGUUAAGUCAGAUGUGAAAGCCCCGGGCUCAACCUGGGAACUGCAUUUGAAACUGGCGGGCUUGAGUGUGGCAGAGGGGGGUGGAAUUCCGCGUGCAGCAGUGAAAUGCGUAGAGAUGCGGAGGAACACCGAUGGCGAAGGCAGCCCCCUGGGCCAACACUGACGCUCAGGCACGAAAGCGUGGGGAGCAAACAGG